AGAGUUUGAUCCUGGCUCAGGAUGAACGCUGGCGGCGUGCCUAACACAUGCAAGUCGAACGGAACUUCUUCGACAGAAUUCUUCGGAAGGAAGUUGAUUAAGUUUAGUGGCGGACGGGUGAGUAACGCGUGAGUAACCUGCCUUUGAGAGGGGAAUAACUUCCCGAAAGGGAUGCUAAUACCGCAUGAUGCAUAGAAGUCGCAUGGCUUUUAUGCCAAAGAUUUAUCGCUCAAAGAUGGACUCGCGUCCGAUUAGCCAGUUGGCGGGGUAACGGCCCACCAAAGCGACGAUCGGUAGCCGGACUGAGAGGUUGAACGGCCACAUUGGGACUGAGACACGGCCCAGACUCCUACGGGAGGCAGCAGUGGGGGAUAUUGCGCAAUGGGGGAAACCCUGACGCAGCAACGCCGCGUGAAGGAUGAAGGUUUUCGGAUUGUAAACUUCUUUUAUUUAGGACGAAGAAUGACGGUACUAAAUGAAUAAGCUCCGGCUAACUACGUGCCAGCAGCCGCGGUAAUACGUAGGGAGCAAGCGUUAUCCGGAUUUACUGGGUGUAAAGGGUGCGUAGGCGGCUUGGUAAGUCAGAUGUGAAAUGUAUGGGCUCAACCCAUGCACUGCAUUUGAAACUAUUGAGCUUGAGUGAAGUAGAGGUAGGCGGAAUUCCCUGUGUAGCGGUGAAAUGCGUAGAGAUAGGGAGGAACACCAGUGGCGAAGGCGGCCUACUGGGCUUUAACUGACGCUGAGGCACGAAAGCGUGGGUAGCAAACAGGAUUAGAUACCCUGGUAGUCCACGCUGUAAACGAU
rnacentral:rRNA from 1 species